AGACGAACCACUAUACAUCCCGUGUCACUCUCUCUCACUCUUUACUUAUCGUUAAUUAGAUCCCCACGGAUCCAAACGUUAACAACUACUAAAUAUCUGCAAGGAAAUAGUGGUCUCAACAACCUCGAUAGGAAGAUUAAGGUAUAUGCAAGAUUAUCUUCCUUGUCAAUGCUUCUAUUCCUGCUGAAUUGUAAAUGAAAGAAUAUCUCCAUUUGUAAAUGAAAGAUCAGUUUGUGUUUUCACUUCCAUUUGUAAUAUCUUCUGUAUAUACAAUAAAAUCCUUUUCCAUUUA